rnacentral:rRNA from 1 species
GACGAACGCUGGCGGCGUGCUUAACACAUGCAAGUCGAACGGAAAGGCCCUGCUUUUGUGGGGUGCUCGAGUGGCGAACGGGUGAGUAACACGUGAGUAACCUGCCCUUGACUUUGGGAUAACUUCAGGAAACUGGAGCUAAUACCGGAUAGGAGCUCCUGCUGCAUGGUGGGGGUUGGAAAGUUUCGGCGGUUGGGGAUGGACUCGCGGCUUAUCAGCUUGUUGGUGGGGUAGUGGCUUACCAAGGCUUUGACGGGUAGCCGGCCUGAGAGGGUGACCGGCCACACUGGGACUGAGAUACGGCCCAGACUCCUACGGGAGGCAGCAGUGGGGAAUAUUGCACAAUGGGCGGAAGCCUGAUGCAGCAACGCCGCGUGCGGGAUGACGGCCUUCGGGUUGUAAACCGCUUUCGCCUGUGACGAAGCGUGAGUGACGGUAAUGGGUAAAGAAGCACCGGCUAACUACGUG